rnacentral:rRNA from 1 species
GCAAGUCGAACGCCCUGUUUACAGGGAGUGGCAGACGGGUGAGUAACGCGUGGGAACCUACCUGGUGGUACGGAACAACACAGAGAAAUUUGUGCUAAUACCGUAUAAGCCCUAAGGGGGAAAGAUUUAUCGCCAUUGGAUGGGCCCGCGUUUGAUUAGCUAGUUGGUGAGGUAAUGGCUCACCAAGGCGACGAUCAAUAGCUGGUCUGAGAGGAUGAUC